CCUACGGGUGGCAGCAGUGAGGAAUAUUGGUCAAUGGACGAGAGUCUGAACCAGCCAAGUAGCGUGAAGGAUGACUGCUCUAUGGGUUGUAAACUUCUUUUAUAUGGGAAUAAAACGUUCCACGUGUGGGAUUUUGUAUGUACCAUAUGAAUAAGGAUCGGCUAACUCCGUGCCAGCAGCCGCGGUAAUACGGAGGAUCCGAGCGUUAUCCGGAUUUAUUGGGUUUAAAGGGAGCGUAGGUGGAUUGUUAAGUCAGUUGUGAAAGUUUGCGGCUCAACCGUGAAAUUGCAGUUGAAACUGGCAGUCUUGAGUACAGUAGAGGUAGGCGGAAUUCGUGGUGUAGCGGUGAAAUGCUUAGAUAUCACGAAGAACUCCGAUUGCGAAGGCAGUUCACUGGACUGCAACUGACACUGAGGCUCGAAAGUGUGGGUAUCAAACAGGAUUAGAUACCCUAGUAGUC
rnacentral:rRNA from 1 species